rnacentral:misc_RNA from 1 species
AAGUCGUAACAAGGUUUCCGUAGGUGAACCUGCGGAAGGAUCAUUAACAAAUAACUAUGGCGUUGGUUGUAGCUGGCUCCUCGGAGCAAUGUGCACGCCCGCCAUUUUUAUCUUUCCACCUGUGCACCGACUGUAGGUCUGGAUACCUCUCGCCUCCGGGCGGAUGCGAGGGUUGCUCGUAAGGGCUUCCCUUGAACUUCCAGGCUCUACGUCUUUUUACACACCCCAAUAGUAUGAUGCAGAAUGUAGUCAAUGGGCUUCUCAGCCUAUAAAACACUAUACAACUUUCAGCAACGGAUCUCUUGGCUCUC